UGGGGAAUAUUGGACAAUGGGCGAAAGCCUGAUCCAGCCAUGCCGCGUGUGUGAAGAAGGUCUUCGGAUUGUAAAGCACUUUAAGUUGGGAGGAAGGGCAUUAACCUAAUACGUUAGUGCUUUGACGUUACCGACAGAAUAAGCACCGGCUAACUCUGUGCCAGCAGCCGCGGUAAUACAGAGGGUGCAAGCGUUAAUCGGAAUUACUGGGCGUAAAGCGCGCGUAGGUGGUUUGUUAAGUUGAAUGUGAAAUCCCCGGGCUCAACCUGGGAACUGCAUCCAAAACUGGCAAGCUAGAGUAUGGUAGAGGGUAGUGGAAUUUCCUGUGUAGCGGUGAAAUGCGUAGAUAUAGGAAGGAACACCAGUGGCGAAGGCGACUACCUGGACUGAUACUGACACUGAGGUGCGAAAGCGUGGGGAGCAAACAGG
rnacentral:rRNA from 1 species